rnacentral:lncRNA from 1 species
CUCGCCGUCACGCUCGCCGUCGUUGUUCUGGUGAGAUCAACUCUUCACGUGUGCGACGCUUUUCUCUUCUCCGACUGAACAAUAACACGUAGCUCUCUCUCUCUCUCUCUCUCUCUCCCUCUCCCUCUCUUCUCUGGCUUUUCUCUUUGUUGUUUUUGAAGCACGAUAGUUAGGGUUUCUUAAUAAUUUGGAGUUUUUUCAUCUGAAUCUAAUUAUAUUUAAUUGAUUGAUUGAUAAUGCAAUUGAAACUAUAAAUAAUUGAUUUGU